rnacentral:lncRNA from 1 species
UGGUUAUUUCUGUUUCAGUGACAUCCAGCCAGUGCCCUCUCAUGAGGAAGAAUCAAUUUGCAAGGUAUUGAGUAAGUCCUUGGGCUCUGCUGAGGAGAGGUGACCACCCAUGAAAACAACUGACAUGAAAAGAAUGCAAGUGCACAGUGCUGGCAAGAAGAGAGGCUGUUUGUAGCAUCAAUUGUGUAACAUGUGAGAAAGGGGAGCUGUCACCUUGGUGAAUGUGAAGAAACAGGAUCUGAGUGCAGAGAGUGGCUGUGGCUGUGUUUGAACUGCAAUGCAGGGACAGGCAGCUCCUGUUCUGGUCUCUGCAUCUGCCUGAUCCACGGACAGAACGUGUCUUUUUCCAUUUCCUGGCUGGAGGAGUCAAACCAACAUGCCCCAAACUGUGGCACGUGGUCUUACUGGUGAGUUGGGUGAAACAUAAAGAU